AUUGAACGCUGGCGGCAGGCCUAACACAUGCAAGUCGACCGAGUGGCGGACGGGUGAGUAAUGUCUGGGAAACUGCCUGAUGGAGGGGGAUAACUACUGGAAACGGUAGCUAAUACCGCAUACCAUCGGAUGUGCCCAGAUGGGAUUAGCUAGUUGGUGGGGUAAAGGAUCACCUAGGCGACGAUCCCUAGCUGGUCUGAGAGGAUGACCAGCCAACCGGGAACUGUGACACUGUCCAGACGACUACGGUAGGCAGCAGUGGGGAAUAUUGCACAAUGGGCGCAAGCCUUAUGCAGCCAUGCCGCGUGUAUGAAGAAGGCCUUCGGGUUGUAAAGUACUUUCAGCGGGGAGGCGUUACCCGCAGAAGAAGCACCGGCUAACUCCGGGCCAGCAGCCGCGGUAAUUC
rnacentral:rRNA from 1 species